UGGGGAAUAUUGGACAAUGGGCGCAAGCCUGAUCCAGCCAUACCGCGUGAGUGAAGAAGGCCUUCGGGUUGUAAAGCUCUUUUGUUGGGAAAGAAAUCCUGUCGGUUAAUACCCGGUAGGGAUGACGGUACCCAAAGAAUAAGCACCGGCUAACUUCGUGCCAGCAGCCGCGGUAAUACGAAGGGUGCAAGCGUUACUCGGAAUUACUGGGCGUAAAGCGUGCGUAGGUGGUUUGUUAAGUCUGAUGUGAAAGCCCCGGGCUCAACCUGGGAAUUGCAUUGGAUACUGGCGGGCUAGAGUGCGGUAGAGGGUAGUGGAAUUCCCGGUGUAGCAGUGAAAUGCGUAGAGAUCGGGAGGAACAUCUGUGGCGAAGGCGACUGCCUGGACCAGCACUGACACUGAGGCACGAAAGCGUGGGGAGCAAACA
rnacentral:rRNA from 1 species